rnacentral:lncRNA from 1 species
CCCUUUAGUUAACACCUCGCAGUUUCCAGGCUUUGUUCACCUCUUUAAGUACAAAAGAGUGUUGUUUGGGAGCACACAGUAAGAGAACAGGGUCCUCAGAGCCCAGAGUGAACUAAAUCCUCCAAUAGGUCAGAAGCAUUUAUAGCUUAUUAUAUAAACAGUGACAAGGAUCAAAUAAUUUGCACUGUGGGCUUUCACACGCUCUAGGGAAAUUGCUGAAAUUAUUAAAAAAUAUGGGAAAUCCUAGCAAGUAAUCCAUCACCUUCACAAAUAUUUUCCUCUUUGCAGCUAAUUCCAUACAGAUGUGCAAGAGAUGAGGCAAAGAUGCUUGUGUUUGAAUUUCUGCUAAAAGGUGCCUUUUCCCAGGUGGCUGCCAUCAGCUUGCCCUUCAUGGAGCAUUGUCUUAUGGGAUUGUGGAAAAAGAGAGGCAAACAGCUUGCUCUGAAGCACCCAGGG